AAAAUUAGAGUGUUCAAAGCAGGCAGAUCCAAUUUUCUGCCCCCGAAUACAUUAGCAUGGGAUAAUGGAAUAGGACCCUGUCCUCCUAUUUUCAGUUGGUUUUGGCAGCGCGAGGACUAGGGUAAUGAUUAAUAGGGAUAGUUGGGGGCAUUAAUAUUUAAUUGUCAGAGGUGAAAUUCUUGGAUUUAUGAAAGAUUAACUUCUGCGAAAGCAUCUGCCAAGGAUGUUUUCAUUAAUCAAGAACGAAAGUUAGGGGAUCGAAGACGAUCAGAUACCGUCGUAGUCUUAACCAUAAACGAUGCCGACCAGCGAUUAGGAGACGUUGAAUACAAAACACCACCAUCGGCGCGGUCGUCCUUGGCGUUGGUCCUUCACGGGGCCGGCGCGAGGGCGGCUUAGCCCGGUGGCACCGGUGAA
rnacentral:rRNA from 1 species